AAAAAAAAAAAACUAAUUAUAUUAAUUUCUAUGCAAGACCGGGCAUAUUUACAGCUCGCAUAGAACGCCAAUAACUUUGCCUAUAUGAUCAAUUGAUUUCAAGAAUCAGUCUUUCAUUCGUCUUAAAUCAUCCGAUUGUUUGUCUUGUAGUUUAUUUCAAGGAUCAAUCUUUCAUUCGUCCUACGUCGAUCUCCAAUCCAGAAAAGCUUCACAAAACACAAAAACUAAAUCUAUGGGGCAAAAAGACGAGCCUGCCAUCGGGGUUCCUUACUACGUCGGCCAGAAUCCUUACCAAGCUGGAGCCAU
rnacentral:misc_RNA from 1 species